rnacentral:rRNA from 1 species
GACGAACGCUGGCGGCGUGCUUAACACAUGCAAGUCGAACGGUAAGGCCCUUCGGGGUACACGAGUGGCGAACGGGUGAGUAACGCGUGAGUAACCUGCCCUUCACUCUGGGAUAACAGUUGGAAACGGCUGCUAAUACCGGAUAUUCAGCUCCUGUCGCAUGGUGGGGGUUGGAAAGUUUUGGUGGUGGAGGAUGGGCUCGCGUCCUAUAAGCUUGUUGGUGGGGUGAUGGCCUACCAAGGCGUCGACGGGUAGCCGGCCUGAGAGGGCGACCGGCCACAUUGGGACUGAGAUACGGCCCAAACUCCUACGGGAGGCAGCAGUGGGGAAUAUUGCACAAUGGGCGGAAGCCUGAUGCAGCAACGCCGCGUGCGGGAUGACGGCCUUCGGGUUGUAAACCGCUUUCAGCAGGGACGAAGCGCAAGUGACGGUACCUGCAGAAGAAGCACCGGCUAACUACGUG